UCAUGUUUGGCUAAGGGCUGGAAUGGGAACAAGGACACAGGUGUAAUUUACGGAGGAUACUAAGGAAGGAAACUGGAAUCAUGCUUGCUGGAAGUUCACCCCAAUAAACAUUGAAUUGUUUGCACCUUUGGACUUUGGGUAUUGUUGCUUUCUGUUCAUGCGAGAAGGACCAGGGAAGUAAGUAGGUGAAGGAAUAAGCCCCCUAAGAUCUUGGUGCCGGUGACUUGGGUGCAUCGCAUUGGGUAGGUGAGUGGCAGCCUGUAAGUCCCCCUUCCCAACAGUCCACGCAGCUGCUUGGAGGGGGUAUCGCGAACUCUCGUGAUGGUAGUUGCGGGUUCUGGAAAGCCAGGGUAAAGGAUUUUUUGGAUAAAUGGAUAAGGAAGAACCAGGGCCCAUACCAUGUGCAGGGGUCAACCUGGGAUGAGAUUAAAAAGGAAAUGGAGGAAGUGUUAGGGGACCCAGAGGUAAGGGGGGUGGCUGAGGAGCCCACCCUCCUUGGUAUAUGGGUAGUGGAAGAAGGUCCCUGCCCAUGGGGACUGAAUGCCUUCCAGGGAAAGGAGGCACUUCAGUCCGCUUGCGAGAGGUUUGAAGUAAGGGCAGCAUUAUGGGAAGCUGCCAGUAAUCUUUCAAGUUUGGUGCUGCUUCAGCAAGGGCUGCUGAAGGGUUGUAAAUUAGUUAGGGGUAGUGAAAGAUGAUUUGGCACAAUAGAGUUUAAAGUCAAAAGCAGAGUUAACAGAUGACCUUUAGAGACUGGAGCUGGGACUUGGUCCUGGGGGAGUGGAGAGGAAAAAAAAAAAAGUUUCAAAGUGCAACCUGCCUUUCCACACUUUUGUUUUUCUGAAGUUUUAAUGGAGGGUACUUUGGAUACUUAUGUGAGAUGUCAAGAAGGAAGUUUUUGUUUAAUGAUAAAACCCAGUUCUAUAAAUGUAACUGUAUGUGCAAGUCUGUGCAGUCACAUUGGAUGGAAGCUUGGUAAUUAAAUUAUCCAAGGGGGUCAGGUCUAGUGGCUACUACCACCACUAUGCUUCUGUCCCCAGAAGCCUUUACAGCUAUUCUGAGGGGAAAAUGGGCCCUUUUCCCACAGAAAUGGUCUAUAAGGGACUGCUGCAGGCAGCAGGCGGAGAGAGAAUCUGAUCAAAAUUAUUUGACUUUUGGGAAAUGUAAUCAAAAUCACUAAAGGAUGGAAGGGGUUUCUAUUGGAACUUAACUUGGCUGCCCCUGGUUGUGUCUAGUUGCACAAGAUGGAAGUUUCAGAGGAACAGCCAUGUUAGUCUGUAUUCGCAAAAAGAAAAGGAGUGUAAUUGGGGUACAGUUGUGUAAAAAAGAGUAAUCACAGUGCAAGAAAUGUUAGGCAAAAGAGAAUUUUGUGUGGUAAAAGGAAAAGGGGAGGAAUGAUGGGAACACUGAGCCUUGGGGUGGCUCUGGGGGAUCAGAUUGUUGCUUUGGUGGGUGUGCAUGAAAACUCUGUGGGCAUGGGGGAGGCAGUUACACCUUGUGUAAAAUUAAUAUGGCUAAUAUAAUGUUAUGGAGGUUAAACUAUACGGAAGGAAUGUGCAUUUUCCCAGGACGUGUGCAGUGUAUAUUGGAGAAGGGGUAAAAGAAAUACAAAUAAAACAUGGUACUUAAUUAAAAUCCUAUUAGGGCUCCAAAAGGGACCAUAAUAGGUUGUGCUUUCUUUUUCAGAUCUGUGUGUGUUUUGGAGCAGGAGAUGAAAGUGGAAAGCAAUCAGAACUCUGGUGGAAGUAAAAUGUUUCCCUUUUAAUACAGUGUCUGAGCUGCUAACAGCUUUGGAUCCAGAAGCAAGCUAGUAAGCCUCUGUGUAAAUGCAAAUUACCUAGCUGAGGGGCCAAAAGGAGCGGCAAAUAAUGAAUACAUCUGAUCAGCAAACAAGCUACUAGAAGACUCAGAUUAUGGCCCUCCAGGAAAGGGAGGUGAAAAAAGUCAAGCCUGAAAAUAAGGGGGACAGGUUAACUUUAAGGGGUGUGUGUGUACAGUGCUAAAAUCUGAAGCUGUGUCUCCACUAUUACCUGAGAAUAAACUUAAAGCUUGGUACAGCAGAGAAACUAUUGCAAACUUGGUCUAUUGUACAAGAGGGGAAACUGAGGUACACCACCUCAUGAAUUUCAUAAAUGACCAGUGAGUGGGGUAAUUCACUAGCCUGACUAUAGAACAAAAUAAGGACAGCCUGGAGCUGCAUGUAUUUCAAGGAGCACAGAAUCUUCUGCUUCCCAGAGGCUAGUGAAGAUCAGAAGGCGAAAAAAACGCACUCACGAUGAAAUGUUCUCUGAGCUUAUGCUGUCCUCCCACACAGACAGAGCACAGACGAAUGCGUGGAGGCAGACAA